CUUUGGGAAAGUGCUAGAAGACAUCUUUCCUCUUGUUUGCUCUCACUUGUCAUCGUCGGUGAGCUGCAGUGAGAGUGACAGAAGGUUUUUGGGAUUCAAGGAAGCUUCCAUCUGUGAGAAGCUAGGAUCCAUCCUUUUCAACUUUCUACUUCUCAACAGUUCUUCAGCAGACGAUGACAACCAAAUCCAUAACUUGCUCUCCGUCUCAGGGUUCUCUGGUGGUGAUGGUUAAUUACUAUCUCUUCGCUUAUAAUCCGUAUCAGAAUAGCCAUUAUUGAGAAUCUCCAUUGUAAGAUAGAAUGUGGUGCUUUCACUCUUUCGCUUGAAACUUUUGAGGCUAUUGAAGAGUAUCACUUGCAAGAUCCACCACUACUUCGCGGCACAGGUACCUCAGCUCAUACACCGCACAAGUAGGAGUCAGGUCAUACAGCUAUUGUUGGUGAGCUCCAGUUUGCUUCGGAGCUUUCCGAGUCGGUUCUGUAUGUUUUGUUAUUGUACAGGAGUCAUGUGUGGGCGGGGGUUUGUCCCGACCCUAGUUAUGUCAUGUAUAUCUUAGAGGCUUUGUAGACAUAAGGAAGGGUAAAGUCAUGGAAGUUUAUAUAGUGAUGUUAUAUUUGUAUAUGUGGUGGCCCCGACGGCCAAGUAUUAUAUAUAUAUAUAUAUAUAUUUGUGCGUGUUGUGCUGAUACAGGUAGUUAGACCCUUCUAUAUGCAACAAAGUGAUGUCCAAAUUUUUGGUGACAUGUAAGUGAAAGUACAGGUAUCUGAACGGGUUCUCCCGGGCCUUCUCGGCUUCGGGUGCCAGUCCGGCCCGAUGGAAUUUUGGGGCGUGAC